UUAGUGGCGCACGGGUGCGUAACGCGUGGGAAUCUGCCCUUUGGUUCGGAAUAACAGCUGGAAACGGCUGCUAAUACCGGAUGAUGACGAAAGUCCAAAGAUUUAUCGCCAGAGGAUGAGCCCGCGUUGGAUUAGGUAGUUGGUGGGGUAAAGGCCUACCAAGCCGACGAUCCAUAGCUGGUCUGAGAGGAUGAUCAGCCACACUGGGACUGAGACACGGCCCAGACUCCUACGGGAGGCAGCAGUGGGGAAUAUUGGACAAUGGGCGAAAGCCUGAUCCAGCAAUGCCGCGUGAGUGAUGAAGGCCCUAGGGUUGUAAAGCUCUUUUACCCGGGAAGAUAAUGACUGUACCGGGAGAAUAAGCCCCGGCUAACUCCGUGCCAGCAGCCGCGGUAAUACGGAGGGGGCUAGCGUUGUUCGGAAUUACUGGGCGUAAAGCGCACGUAGGCGGCUUUGUAAGUCAGAGGUGAAAGCCUGGAGCUCAACUCCAGAACUGCCUUUGAGACUGCAUCGCUUGAAUCCAGGAGAGGUCAGUGGAAUUCCGAGUGUAGAGGUGAAAUUCGUAGAUAUUCGGAAGAACACC
rnacentral:rRNA from 1 species